rnacentral:lncRNA from 1 species
AUGGCUCCUGCAAAGAACAGUGGCAAGAAGAAAAUGGACCAUUCUGCCAUCAACGAGGUGAUGACCCAAGAAUACACCAACAUUCACAAGCACAUCCACAGAGUGGGCUUCAAGAAGCAUGUCCCUCAGGCACUCAAAGAGAUCCGGAAAUUUUGCAAUGAAGGAGAUGGGAACUCCAGAUGUGUGCAUUGAUACCAGGCUCAAUAAAGUUGUCUUUGCCAAAGGAAUAAGGAAUGUCCCGUACCGUAUCCGCGUGCAGCUGUCCAGAGGAUGUAAUGAGGAUGAAGAUUCACCAAAUAAGCUCUGUACUUUGAUUACCUAUGUACCUGUUACCACUUUCAAAAAUCUACAGAUAG